rnacentral:rRNA from 1 species
UACGUAGGAUGCAAGCGUUGUUCGGAAUUACUGGGCGUAAAGAGUACGUAGGCGGUAUGGUAAGUCUGAUAUUAAAGACCGGAGCUCAACUCCGGGACUGUAUCGGAAACUGCCAAACUAGAGGACAAUAGAGGAAGUCGGAAUUCUCAGUGUAGCGGUGAAAUGCGCAGAUAUCAGGAGGAACACCGGUGGCGAAGGCGGGGUCUCUGGGGCCGAUACUGACGCUGAGGAGCGAAAGCGUGGGGAGCGAACAGG